UGCCCGACUCCUAAAACCAGCUUUGAGUUCAUUGAAUCCACAUGAUGGCGCUGUCAGUUCGAGAAAGUCAGCUGUCCUUUCCCUGGUUGAUUCAUAUUUCACAUAUUGUCAUUGCAUUUCCGAUUUUCAAAUUAUGUCUACAUUAUUUCUCCGAGUAAAUGAUUGGAGAUAUUUAACGCUAGUUUCUUGAAGAGCAGAGGCGCCUGCAUAGCAACUGCAGAGGGUAGGAGAGGCCAGGUGGUGAAGCCUAGGAAGUAACGGGAAACAGCCUCUACUGCGCAUGUUGAGGGCAAAAGAGCUUGCUGCCGGCAGUUCAUUGCUGCUGCCAAUUGAAUUCAUAGACAUGAUAUUUAUUCCUAUGUACGCUCUAUGAUUGAUUUCAACGUAGAAAACUAAAGCUAUUUAACAACCAAAAACCUCAUCGACUUGUUGACCGCAAGAAACAAACCAGUCUCUGCAAUUCUUAAACAGUGAUCCUUGGGUUAUUGAUGGCUUCCCUCACCAUCUUCCUCACCAUCCGUGGGGACAACAUGCACUUUCUUCCUCUUCCGGGCAAAUCUGCUACCAUUCCAACCACACACCCUCUCUUCUUCUGAUUAAAGAUUAAGUUCUGGGGAAAAAAAACUGUUGUUCUCAUCGGACAAUCCUGUAGCGAUUCAACUCCCCUGAACCAACACCCUAGUUCAUUAAACCAGCAUCAUAAUCCCAUCUAUUAAAAAAAUGGUUCUUCGAGCCAGAUGAAGGCAUUACUGCAGUGAAUACAUGAUGUUCAGAACCAAAGAGGGAGAAGAGCCAACAUCCCCAGUUGUCCGGCCCCAACGUCAGAUCCGUCCUCCAGCAUGUUUUGAAGACUACAACCUUACUCUUCCUAGUGCCACUAGAUGUCCUUCCUCACCCCCCACCUCACGUGCUACCCCGCACUACAGCGGCAGAGACCAAGAGGAGCCACUUCCAGACGAUGCGCACCUGACCCCUUGUAGUUCUCCUCUUAGUCAGAGCUUUGCCAGUCCCCAUGGGCAGACGGUGCUGGACCAGUGGAACACUGUAUUUAGUGAGUUGAGGCAGGAGAAUGACUAACUGCGCUGUAAAGUAAGUGAGCUUCCUGACAUGGUAACUGUGUUACAGAAAAUGAAGCAGGAGAAUGAAAAUCUGCAUCAUCAACUGAAACAGCUGAUAAACACACUCCCCAUUAUGCCAAAGUCUCCACAGACACAGACCUCUCUGUCUCCUACACCAUCGCCAUGUACCAGUGCACCCCACCAGAAAGUGAUGGACAUCCACAGCCAGCUGUGCCAGUACCUUCACCCUGGACAAAGGUCAGUCUUCGUCAUGCCAAAGAUGAGAGGGCAGGUGAUGUCAAGCUACUGAAUCAAGAUUUUAAGCAGGUGGACAUUUGUUCUAGCUCAGCAGAGAAAUCUGACAAAUGUGUGCCCCAUUGGUGAACUCCCUCUCCACGCUGACGCUCGUCGCCUCGCUGGCACACAUCUUCACCACACCAAGCGAGCAAUAGGCCAGAAGUUAUUCACCACCUUCCCAAGGACCUCAGGUCAGAAAGCUGUGACUUAUGGCUCAGUCAAAAUUGUGUUGAUUUUCAAGAGCUGGCUCUUGGGCUGCAUUGGCACUGUCAAUCUGACACACUGUCAUACAGGUACCGACCUAUUGAUUGUGCUACCACCACCAUGCGCAAUAUAGAAUUCUUGCCAGUCAAUAUGACUCCUUGGGUUAUAUUGUCCGAUUUACCACUAGAGCUAAGAUCAUUUUGCAACACUUACGGAUCAGGAAGAGGGCAGCAGAGGAUCUGGGAGAGCAAGCUUCCUAAUUUUCAGAGGGUUACCCUGCCUAGAUGUUAUGUAAACCCCGACAUGGACAAAGAGAGUAGUCUUUGGGAAAUUCAUGUCUUCUGCAAUGCUUCUGAACAUGUGUAUGGUUCUGUCUCAUAGUUUCGCACUGAAGAUCUCCGAGGGCAUGUUCAGAUAGCUUUCCUGGCAGCCAGAUCCAGAGUUGUGCCAAAAAGGCAGUAGUCAAUACCACUACUUGAACAUUGUGCUGCACUGACGGGGCACAGCUAGCGAAUGUUCUCACUGCCCAUCAGCUGUAUAACCCUGUGGACUGACUCAACCACAGUGCUGAUAUGGCUACAGUCAAAGACCUGUCAGUUCAAGGUACUUGUCAGCACCAGACUGGCUGAAAUGAUAGACAUGACAGAUGCUGACUCAUGGUGUUAUGUGGAGUCAAAGCAAAAUCCAGCCGAUGACCUUACAUUUAGGAUUUAGAAUUUUAUUAGGAUCCCCAUUAGCUGAUGCAGAACAUCAGCUACUCUUCCUGGGGUCCACACAAAACACAAGAACAUGACAGCAGAUAAGACACUUACAGACAAAACAACCACAUGAAAUAAAAAUCUGAAAAGUAUAACAAACAAUAUUCUUUCUCGGAAAAAUAUUACUAUACAUACUCUUAUUCAUAUACAUUUAUAUAUUAAUAUACACUAAAUUCAUAAGCACUGAAUAUACAUACAAGUGAAAUCUUACAACAUAUUCAUAUACAUAUUGAUAUUCCUACACAUAAAAAAUGUACAAAAUGUGUUUUCAGGCAUAGGGCCAUUAGGUGUUGCUUCACUUGUUUUUUAAAGCUUGCUUUAUUGUGUGCGUUAGCAAUCUGAGCUGGAAGUGAGUUCCAUACAACCAUGGCUCGAUACAGUACUGUGCGUUGCUUUGAUUGUGUUCUAGAUUUAGGAACUGUGUAGAGACCUCUGGUGGCAUGUCUGGUGGGGUAGGUAUGUGUGUUAGAGCUGAAUGUGAGUUGACUAACAAUUAGGAAUUUUCAAUACAUUAAUGUUUCUAACAAAAACAGGGAGUGAUGCUGUCAGCCUCUCCUCAACUUCCAACCAGGAGAGAUUGAUAUCCAUGUUGUUUACAUUAGACCUUAGUGUGCAUCGAAGGGCAAGACAAGCUGCUUUGUUCUGAGCCAGCUGCAGUUUUCCUAGAUCCUUCUUUGCAGCACCUGACCAUAUCAUUGGGCAAUAGUCUAGAUGUGAUAAAUCUAGAGUCUGCAGGACUUGUUUGGUCAAGUGUGGUGUUAGAAAAGCAGAGCACCUCUUUAUAACAGAUAUAUUCCUCCCAAUCUUUACAACAAGAGAAUCUAUAUGCCUUGUCCACGACAGUUUACAAUCUAAAAUAACACCAAGAAGCUUUGUUUCCUCUACUUGCUCAACAGCUACAUUGUUCAGCAUCAGAUUCAGCUAGAGGUCAAGGAUUGAUUUGUACCAAAUACAAUGCUCUUAGUCUUUGAUAUGUUUAAGACUAGUUUAUUGCUAGUAGCCCAUUCUAGUACUGUCUGCAGCUCUUUGUUGAGGGUUGCAGUGAUUUCACUAACUGUGGGUGCAUACAUGUAUAUUGUUGCAUCAUCUGCAUACAUGGACACACAGGAUUUUUUUAAAGCAAGUGGAAGAUCAUUAGUAAAAACAGAAAAUUAAAGGGCUAAGCGAACCUCCUUGUGGAAUUCCACACUCUACAUGUCUUGCAUCUGAAAAGCUUCCAUUACAGAAAACUCUUUGUGUCUAUUGGAGAGAUAGCUUUCUAUCCAUGAUAAGGCAGAUGGAGCAAAACCAUAGCACAUAGUUAUUUCAAUAAUAAUUUGUGAUCAAUCACAUCAAAGGCAGCACUGAAAUCUAACUGUACUGCUCCCACAAUAUUCUUUUGAUCAAUUUCUUUCAGCCAAUCAUCUGUCAUUUGUGUAAGCGCUGUGCAUGUUGAGUGACCUUCAUGAACGUGCUGGUAGUCACUUGUCAAAUUGUUAACAGAGUAAUAGCAUUGUAUCUGGUCAAAUACAAUUUUUCCAAGAGUUUGCUAAGAACAGAUGACAAACUGAUUGGUUGGCUGUUAGAGCCAGUAAAGGCAGCCCUAGCAUUCUCGGGUAGUGGAAUGACUUUAGCUUCUCUCCAGGUUUGGGGACAAACAUUACUCACAAGGCUCAGAUUGAAAAUAUGGCAAAUAGGAGCGGCAAUAUGGUCUGCUACCAUCCUCAGUAGCUUACCAUCUAAGUUGUCAAUACCAGGUGGUUUCUCAUUAUUGAUAGACAGCAAUAAUUCUUUUGCAUUAGGGAAAACUCUGUUGGAUUUUGCAAGGCAGAGUUUGAAAAACAUUGAUGCUUCUUGCACAUGCUAGCCUGAAGCCUCCCAUAGACUCUGCCACACAAAUUAGUAAGGUACUAUUUAUUUGUAUAGUUGCAUUUAGGUCGGUGGCGAUAUUGACCCUAUGUUGGUGCACAGCAAAAUAAUUGUUUGUUGUGGUUUGAGGUGGCUACUUCAGCACUGCCUUUCAUUUUUACAAAAACAAACUUUAUAUAGCCUUUUUAUAUUCUUCAACAAUUAUUCAACAUCAUUCCACUAUCAGUAUGUGCAACUAAAUAUGGAAUAAGUAUACAAUCUCACCAUUGGUUGUACACAUAAAGAUGUCUCUUUCAAGAUUUAGAGGUCUUGAAUAAUCAGUUUUCAUGAAAAAUAGAAAGCCGGGUUUGACAUUUAUACCAACCACACGCAAAACCCCACUAGCUUUUUAAAACAUAGAACUCAUUUCAGUUUGUUCUGGUUUGAUUGAUGAAUCCUUUAUCUAGUAGUGGACAGUAUAAGCUUUCCAACGAUGUAUAACUUGUUAAAUUUGAAAUUUAUAACAACAACUGAGAGCAUUGCACAGACAUCAAGAAUGGCUUCAUUGUAGCAUGGCACAGUCAAACGUAACAUUACAGUAAUAUACGAGAACUUGUUGAGGUGUAAUUGCUUUAUUCCUUUGGUUUUUGGAAGAUUAUACUAUUUUUGCCAACUCAUCAGCAUACCUAAAGCAAAUUCUCUGGGGAGUGGGUCAGAAGAGGAGGAGAAAGCAUGAAGUCUAGCGAGCAUACAUACGAACAUGGUGAAGAUGUACGUAUUCGCAUUGGUCAGAAGAGGCCACUGUCAGCCUCUGCAACUAAUUCUCAGAAUAUAUGUAUUGGGGGCUAACUUAGCUGUUAGGCCUAGCUGUUAGUAUUGGAGACAUUGUUAGCAUCCCCUGGGCAGUAUUAGCAUAGUCGCUCUAAGUGGCCUACUUUGUUAGAAUUCCUAUCACUCACACGUUAAUUGAAUGUCUUUCAACAGAUUUGUGCUAUUCUCUAAUGUAGGCAUUUCACGUACUGUAGUGUAAGCAUUCAUAUGUGGCUCAGUCGUGUGUUAUGUUUGAUGCACCAGUUUAGCAUGAAGCUAGACCAUAUUUCUGAUGAUGGAAUAUUAUUUUAUUGUAAUCUUAUAGUAAAUAAUGUGGGGUAUUGGUAUCUCCAUGGGCUUUACUUGUUAGUUAGAGCAUGGAAAAUACUCAUUCAAAUUUACUCUGUGCUGAUAUGUGCUAGAUGAACGUAAAAUAUCUGUUGGAGUGAUCAUGAAUUGUAACUGGAAUUCAGUCCGCCGGAGAGGAGGAUUGGUCUUGGCUGUGCCGGCUGGUGGAGAGAGCACACACACCUGGGUUGUGUUGGCUAAUCAGUCCAGCUGCUUAAAGGUGUGCUGCUCUCCACAGUUCAGGGUUGAGACCGGGAGCUCACACCGAGAGCCCAAUUAUGAUUUUUGUUUUGCUUUAUUUUUGGAAUUGUGUAAUCCUCAGCUGGGAUGCUGGAGGAGCUGCCGCUGGCUGGGAAGCGGGCCAGCUACUGGCAGUGCACAGGAAAGUGGUUGCUCCGUUUUACUUUCUUUUGUCUUUGUUAUUUUAGCUUGUUGUUUUUGUUUAUUAUUAUCGCACUGAACCCAUGAAGGGGAAGGGUGAAGAGGGUCGUUUAUUUAAUUUCACAUUUGUGUGGGUGCGCUCUCUCUCUCCAUGCGGCAACCAUCGGCGUUCCACGGCACUGCCGCAUGCCCCUCCCAGGGGUGUCACACUGGCGUGUGACGGUAACAUUUGGAAAACGUUAUCCCAUCCCCAUGCAAUAAGAUUAUGUACUGUAGAGUAUAGAAAAACAUACCACAGUGAAUUAUUACACAUUUACAUAUGUGUGUGUUUGCAUUAUAUGUUGCAAUGUGAUAUCAAUGUUUCAUCUUAAACCAUUGUAAGGGGCAACUGUAUGUGCUUCAUAAGGGAUAAAAAGCAUUUUAUUCAUUUGUGGAGAGAUAAUUACCACUUGAAAAUGAUUCAAAAGUGAGUUUCAUGAGUCAAAACAAAAAAAAAAUGUUAAGAUUUGCAGCAAUCCAAAUCUAUCCAAAAUGUCUAAAAUGUGCAUGGGCAUUUGACUUCUGACAGAACAGAUGUACGAAGGUGCACAAUGCCAUCUGGGGACACACCGAGGAUGGCAGACUGUGUAAUGGGGGGCGACAUAGCUCAGGAGGUAAGACCGAUUGUCUGGCAGUCGGAGGGUUGCCGGUUCAAACCCCGCC